GAUCUUUCAGAUUGCAAGUACCAAGGGCACAUUCAAAGUAUCUCAGGUAAUAGGGAAUACAAUUAGAGAGAAGGAAAAUGUUUCAAUAUCAAAGAUAGCAGUCUUCAAAGGAAACCAAAACAGUACUCAAAUCAUCUGAUAGCAGCUCUGGAAGACAUAAAAGUUGAGAGUCUAUUAUUGUUCCCUGAAUUAGGGCCCUGUCCCUGUGGAUAAUUAUCAGCGUCUCCACAUCUAGUGUUCCUGCCAUCAUCCACAAGAGAAGACUGAAUUGAUUUGUCCUUCACUAUCCAUGAGAGGGAAGGCCAGGGGUCUCAGGAACAGUGGGCAGCAGCGCCUGGAAAAUCAUCUAGACUCUGGCUUCUACAACUAUUUCACAGCUUCACAGAGUUUACUUGCAUGGGACAGGGAACAUGAUGACUGGUGGCUCCAGAGAUCUACGUUUCCAUCAUCAGAGAGGAGGUCAAAUGCAAAGGAGAGUAUCCUGGUUAAUUGAGCAUUGUACAUGCUAAAUUCUCCAGUUCAUUAAGGUCACUUAUUUUAGAAUUGUGCAGAUCACUUAAGACCAUAUGAUGGUUAGAAAAGCAAACCAAACACUACAUUUCCAGAAAACUAUGUCCACACAAAAACCUGCAUGCAAAUGUUAUUAGCAACUUUACUCAGAGCUGCUACAAUGGAAAGAGCCAAGAUGUCCUCCAGCAAGUGAACACAUAAAUAAACUGUCAUGCAUCCAGAUGAUGGAGUAUUCAGUGAUAAAAAGAAAUGAGCCAUCAAGCCAUGAAAAGACAUGAAGGAACCUCAAAUAUUGUUAAGUGAAAGAAGCCAAUCUAAAAAGUCUCCAUACUGUAUGUUUCAAAUUAUAUGACAUUCUGGAAGAAGUAAAACUAUUGAGACAGUAAAAAGAUCAUCCAGGGAAUCCCUGGGUGGCU